GGGGCUAUAGCUCAGUGGCAGAGCACCUGCCUAGCACAUGUCAGGCAUUGGGAUCAAUCCUUAGCACCA
rnacentral:tRNA from 1 species